rnacentral:rRNA from 1 species
UUGGGCGGUCAUAGCGGCGGGGAUACACCUCUUCCCAUUCCGAACAGAGAAGUUAAGCCCGCCAGCGCCGAUGGUACUCGGGGCGCAAGCCCCCGGGAGAGUAGGACGCCGCCCACC